GGCUUGAUAGCUCAGUCGGUUAGAGCGUCGCAUCGGUACCGCGAGGUCACGGGUUCAAACCCCGUUGGAGUCC
rnacentral:tRNA from 1 species